GCCAGCCUGGCAUAGUGGUUUGAGCACUGGACUAUGACUCUGGAGACCAGGGUUCGAUUCCCAGCUUGGCC
rnacentral:tRNA from 1 species